rnacentral:rRNA from 1 species
UUGGGACUGAGACACGGCCCAAACUCCUACGGGAGGCAGCAGUGGGGAAUAUUGGACAAUGGGGGAAACCCUGAUCCAGCGACGCCGCGUGAGUGAUGAAGUAUCUCGGUAUGUAAAGCUCUAUCAGCAGGGAAGAUAAUGACGGUACCUGACUAAGAAGCACCGGCUAAAUACGUGCCAGCAGCCGCGGUAAUACGUAUGGUGCAAGCGUUAUCCGGAUUUACUGGGUGUAAAGGGUGCGUAGGUGGUAUGGCAAGUCAGAUGUGAAAACUAUGGGCUCAACCCAUAGAUUGCAUUUGAAACUGUCAAACUGGAGUGCAGGAGAGGAAAGUGGAAUUCCUAGUGUAGCGGUGAAAUGCGUAGAUAUUAGGAGGAACACCAGUGGCGAAGGCGGCUUUCUGGACUGUUACUGACACUGAGGCACGAAAGCGUGGGGAGCAAACAGGAUUAGAUACCCCUGGUAGUCCAACGCCGUAAACGAUGAAUACUAGGUGUUGGGGAGUUUAAAUCCCCGGUGCCGUCGCUAACGCAUUAAGUAUUCCACCUGGGGAGUACGUUCGCAAGAAUAAAACUCAAAGGAAUUGACGGGGACCCGCACAAGCGGUGGAGCAUGUGGUUUAAUUCGAAGCAACGCGAAGAACCUUACCAGGUCUUGACAUAGGAGUGACGAGCUUUUUAACAGAAGUCUUCCUUCGGGACAUCUCCAUACAGGUGGUGCAUGGUUGUCGUCAGCUCGUGUCGUGAGAUGUUGGGUUAAGUCCUGCAACGAGCGCAACCCCUGUUUUCAGUAGCCAGCUCAUAAUGGUGGGCACUCUGGAGAGACUGCCCGGGACAACCGGGAGGAAGGCGGGGAUGACGUCAAAUCAUCAUGCCCCUUACGAUCUGGGCUACACACGUGCUACAAUGGCGGAUACAAAGAGAAGCGAAAUCGUGAGAUCAAGCAAACCUCAAAAACUCCGUCUCAGUUCGGAUUGUAGUCUGCAACUCGACCACAUGAAGCUGGAAUCGCUAGUAAUCGCGAAUCAGAACGUCGCGGUGAAUACGUUCCCGGGUCUUGUACACACCGCCCGUCAAACCAUGGGAGUCGGAAAUACCCGAAGCCUGUGACCUAACCGCAAGGAUAGGAGCAGUCGAAGUAGUCUAUACU